AGGUAUGCAGGGGUGUUUACAAACAGACGACCACAGCUGAAGUAGAUUGUGAGCUUGGAGAGGUCCUGAAACUGGCCACUUUUCGAAAGGGAGGUUCAAAGUUUGAGGAGAAGAGGAGGAAUUAAGAGGAAGCGACGGCGAAGAAAGGCAAAGGGAAGUGUAAAAAGGAAAUGGACAGUGAGAUGAGUGACCAGGAAGUGAAGAAGAAGAAAACAGGGAAAGGGAAAAGAACCAAGCAAACGCGAGUGAGACCAGUGAGCAUUGAGCAGGAAGAGAACCAACAAGAAGGGGCAGGAGUACACUGACGCGCACGACCAAGACCACAGCAUUCCAUUUCUAUUCCAUCCAUCCAUCCAUCUUCUUCCGCUUAUCCGAGGUCGGGUCGCGGGGGCAGCAGCCUAAGCAGGGAAGCCCAGACUUCCCUCUCCCCAGCCACUUGGUCCAGCUCUUCCUGUGGGACCCCGAGGCGUUCCCAGGCCAGCCGGGAGACAGUCUUCCCAACGUGUCCUGGGUCUUCCCCGCGGCCUCCUACCGGUCGGACGUGCCCUAAACACCUCCCUAGGGAGGCGUUCGGGUGGCAUCCUGACCAGAUGCCCGAACCACCUCAUCUGGCUCCUCUCGAUGUGGAGGAGCAGCGGCUUUACU